UACGGAGGGAGCUAGCGUUAUUCGGAAUUACUGGGCGUAAAGCGCACGUAGGCGGCUUUGUAAGUAAGAGGUGAAAGCCUGGUGCUCAACACCAGAACUGCCUUUUAGACUGCAUCGCUUGAAUCCAGGAGAGGUGAGUGGAAUUCCGAGUGUAGAGGUGAAAUUCGUAGAUAUUCGGAAGAACACCAGUGGCGAAGGCGGGAUCCUGGGCCAGUACUGACGCUGAGGCGCGAAAGCUAGGGGAGCAAACGGG
rnacentral:rRNA from 1 species